GAUGAACGCUAGCGGCAGGCUUAACACAUGCAAGUCGAGGGGUAACAGGGUUUGCUUGCAAACCGCUGACGACCGGCGCACGGGUGCGUAACGCGUAUACAAUUUACCUUUUACAGGGGGAUAGCCCAGAGAAAUUUGGAUUAAUACCCCAUAGUAUUAUAGAUCGGCAUCGGUUUAUAAUUAAAGAUUUAUCGGUAGGAGAUGAGUAUGCGUUCUAUUAGCUAGUUGGUACGGUAACGGCGUACCAAGGCGACGAUAGAUAGGGGUCCUGAGAGGGAGAUCCCCACACUGGUACUGAGACACGGACCAGACUCCUACGGGAGGCAGCAGUGAGGAAUAUUGGGCAAUGGACGAGAGUCUGACCCAGCCAUGCCGCGUGCAGGAAGACUGCCCUAUGGGUUGUAAACUGCUUUUAUACAGGAAGAAACCCACCUACGUGUAGGUGGCUGACGGUACUGUAUGAAUAAGCACCGGCUAACUCCGUG
rnacentral:rRNA from 1 species